AGCAGCCGCGGUAAUUCCAGCUCCAAUAGCGUAUAUUAAAGUUGUUGCAGUUAAAAAGCUCGUAGUUGAAUUUCGGGGUUAGUAAGUUGGUCAUGCCUUUGGUAUGCACUGGCUUUACUGAUUCCUCCUUCUUGACGAACCGUGAUGUCAUUAAUUUGGUGCUGCGGGAAAUCAGGACUGUUACUUUGAAAAAAUUAGAGUGUUUAAAGCAGGCUAACGCUCGAAUACAUUAGCAUGGAAUAAUGAAAUAGGACGUUAAUCCUAUUUUGUUGGUUUCUAGGAUCGACGUAAUGAUUAAUAGGGAUAGUUGGGGGCAUUAGUAUUCAAUUGUCAGAGGUGAAAUUCUUGGAUUUAUUGAAGACUAACUACUGCGAAAGCAUUUGCCAAGGAUGUUUUCAUUAAUCAAGAACGAAAGUUAGGGGAUCGAAGACGAUCAGAUACCGUCGUAGUCUUAACCAUAAACUAUGCCGACUAGGGAUCGGAUGAUGUUAAUUCUUUAAUGACUCA
rnacentral:rRNA from 1 species